CGGCGUUGGCUGCCUUUCUCUCUUACUGCCCAGGCAUGGGUGUAGCCCUCCGCAUGUACCCGCUCAAAGUCACCUGGUGGUUCUGCGCCUUCCCCUACAGCCUCCUCAUCUUCAUCUAUGAUGAGGUCCGAAAGCUCAUCCUGCGGCGGUAUCCUGGUGGCUGGGUGGAGAAGGAGACAUACUACUGACCCCAUUGGAAGAAGAACCAGGCAUGGAAAGAUGGGGAGCUCUGGAGGUGUUGUGGGGAUGGUGAUGGAGAGGGAUGGAAAUAACGGGUGGCAUUGGGUGGCAACAUUUGGGGAGAGAUAAUGAGGCAACUCAGCAGGCUAAGUUGCGGGGUAUAUAAAUUGGGGUGAUGACCCCAUAGACCUAACUGUGAACAAUCAGAUUAGACACUAUGUGUUAGAGUCCCCCCGACCAGAUCCUUUUCCAUCCCACUCCACUAUGUUGUCUAUUUUUUCUGAGGAAUUAAGGGUUACCCCACCCUGCCCACUCCCAUCCCUUCAACCCCACUUCCUACUGUAAUAGAUCAGCAUCCAAAAGCAGGAACCCAUCUAAACCAGAAGGAAGCCCUCUCAGAUCACCCCAGCCUCACUCCAUUUCCCACUUCCACCCCCGUUAGCUUCCUGCAGGACUCUAUCCCUGGCUUCCCCUUCAGACCUUGCAAUCACAAAAGGUUCUUCUGGUGAGUGCAAGAGCCUGAGACUGGAAAAGGUGGACUUGUCUCCCAGUCGAGGCUGGUAAGGGACCUUCAGGGAGAGCUGGGCAGACAGGUGGGAGAUGGAGGUAGGGCUGGCUGGAGGAAGGAAACAACAAAGGAAGUGAGGUAGUGCCAAUGACAGGACAUUUGACAUGAGUCUCCAGAUAGAUGUCGUGGACUCCAGCUCUACGUCCCACAUUUUAGAAUACCCCACCAGCAGAACAAACUCAGAUCUCAUCAGGGUAGCAGCAGAGGCAGGACCAGAAGGCAAUCAAGAGCUUCCAGAAAUGCCACACUUGUGUGCCACAGAGUUCCCCGCUGACCCUUGGUUAGGGGUCCUCUUAGUCCACAAGGUCCGGAUGUCACUCAUGUACUUAAUAACACUUCACCUUCUGUAAUACUAAGUCCUCAGAGCUCCAUGCUGUUCUGAAAGGGAUGGCCACAAGUUCUUUCCCAGCCUCUUCCAUUCCCUUUCUUUUCAUGCCCAUCCCGAUGAACCUGCAUCAUUCCCCGACACUGCCAAGCCAACCCUGGAAAAGGAGUUCGCUGGCCAUUGGCUAGAAUCAGGGUGGAGAAGUUCCCUGAACCUUCCUGUCUCCCAGGGACAUGUAUGCUUCCAGGGACAAGCUUAGGUCAUGAACAUGGUCAGAACCUUUGGACAAGAGGAAAAAUACUAAGAGAUUUGCUUUUUCUGGGUGCGGUGGCUCAUGCCUGUAAUCCCAGCACUUUGGGAGGCCGAGGCAGGUGGAUCAUGAGGUCAGGAGUUCGAGGCGAGCCUGGCCAACAUGGUGAAACCCUGUCUCUACUAAAAGUACAAAAAAUUAGCCAGUCAUGGUGGCACACGCCUGUAAUCUCAGCUACUCAGGAGGCUGAGGCAGGAGAAUUGCUUGAACCUGUGAGGAAGAGGUUGCAGUGAGCUGAGAUCGUGCCAUUACACUCCAGCCUGGGCGAAAGGGUGAGACUCCAUCUC
rnacentral:lncRNA from 1 species